AUUUGCAGUAAUGCUAUUUUUCAUCACAACUGUCAUACUUGGUAUUUUUAUAAUGUACAGACAUACACCCAUAGUACGAGCCAAUAAUACGUAUCUAAGUUACAUCAUUCUAUUUUCUCUCAUGCUUUCCUUCCUUUUUUGCUUGUUAUUUUUUGGCUCGCCUAAUAAGAUCACAUGCUUGCUGCAAAACGCAAUUUUUAACAUAAUCUAUGCUGUGGCUCUGUCAUCUGUUCUGACAAAAACAAUUAUAGUUUUAGUAGCCUUUUCAGUUGUAAAGCCUGG